AACGAACGCUGGCGGCAUGCCUAACACAUGCAAGUCGAACGAGACCUUCGGGUCUAGUGGCGCACGGGUGCGUAACGCGUGGGAAUCUGCCCUUGGGUUCGGAAUAACAGUUGGAAACGACUGCUAAUACCGGAUGAUGACGUAAGUCCAAAGAUUUAUCGCCCAGGGAUGAGCCCGCGUAGGAUUAGCUAGUUGGUGGGGUAAAGGCCUACCAAGGCGACGAUCCUUAGCUGGUCUGAGAGGAUGAUCAGCCACACUGGGACUGAGACACGGCCCAGACUCCUACGGGAGGCAGCAGUGGGGAAUAUUGGACAAUGGGCGAAAGCCUGAUCCAGCAAUGCCGCGUGAGUGAUGAAGGCCUUGGGGUUGUAAAGCUCUUUUACCCGGGAUGAUAAUGACAGUACCGGGAGAAUAAGCCCCGGCUAACUCCGUG
rnacentral:rRNA from 1 species